rnacentral:rRNA from 1 species
AGAGUUUGAUCAUGGCUCAGAACGAACGUUAGCGGCGCGCCUAACACAUGCAAGUCGAACGCGGCAGGGGCAACUCUGUCGAGUGGCGCACGGGUGAGUAACACGUAGGUAAUCUUCCCUCGAGUGGUGGAUAACCCUCCGAAAGGAGAGCUAAUACAGCAUGAGACCACGGCUUCGAAAGGAGCUGAGGUCAAAGCGGAGGAUCGCAAGACUUCGCGCUUGAGGAUGAGCCUGCGGCCCAUCAGGUAGUUGGCGGGGUAAUGGCCCACCAAGCCAUAGACGGGUAGCUGGUCUGAGAGGAUGAUCAGCCACACUGGAACUGAGACACGGUCCAGACUCCUACGGGAGGCAGCAGUGGGGAAUCUUGCGCAAUGGACGAAAGUCUGACGCAGCGACGCCGCGUGGGUGAUGAAGGCCUUCGGGUUGUAAAGCCCUGUGGGGAGGGACGAAUAAGUUCCGGUUAAUACCCGGAGCGAUGACGGUACCUCCUUAGCAAGCACCGGCUAACUCUGUGCCAGCAGCCGCGGUAAGACAGAGGGUGCAAACGUUGUUCGGAAUUACUGGGCGUAAAGCGCGUGUAGGCGGCUAUGCAAGUCGGAUGUGAAAGCCCUCGGCUCAACCGGGGAAGUGCACCCGAAACUGCAAAGCUAGAGUCUCGGAGAGGAUCGUGGAAUUCUCGGUGUAGAGGUGAAAUUCGUAGAUAUCGAGAGGAACACCGGUGGCGAAGGCGGCGAUCUGGACGAUGACUGACGCUGAGACGCGAAAGCGUGGGGAGCAAACAGGAUUAGAUACCCCGGUAGUCC